CUUUGAUUUUCUGUCGUUCACCUUUUCCUCUUCGUCUCUUCUGUUUCACAAGAAGCACAACUGACAAACACAACUGAAAAACAGUCCUAAUUUCAUGCCCAGUAACAGAUCCACAUUCAAGGUGGUUAUAACAAUUCCCAUCUUCUAUAUAAAUGUUCUUCAACAUCCUCCAAAUAAAAAAAAACGCACCUCAAAACCUCUGUUUUAAUCAUAAACCAAUGCCCCACCAGAUCUUCCUUUCGAAAACCUCUUUCAGUUUCACAAAGCUAAAUUCGUUUGAAAACAACAAUUCAGACGGAGCUGCAGCAUGUCUCUCGAUUUUACUCAUCUCUCUAAUCUUAAUUCUUUAAAAAGAGAAUGGAAGAUCAAAGUUCUAAUAGCCAGGACAUGGAAUUUUUAUCCAAAAGAUAAACCUGGAGUUAUUCUGGUUAUUGAAUCAAUUUUGGUGGAUGCAAAAGGGGGAUCGAAUUCAAGCAUCAGUGAAAAACACUUUAGUUAGAAAAUUCAAAAAGUAAUUGGUGUACUUAUAGUAUUCUCAAAUCUUAUCA